CAGAAGCCUGGAGCCUGGGCGGCAUCUGAAAGAGGGGACCUGGGAAACGCGCUGGCGGCGGGAGAGGGAGGGAGGAUCCCGUACUGGUUAGUGCUGGACUGUGAGAAUCCCGCGGAUUCGGGAAUAGCUCAAGCGGGCGGGUGAGUGCUGUCACCGCCGUUGGCGCGUUCGUGUCGGGUUGGUCUUUAGGUCUUAAACUGUUUAUCUGGAGUGUUUUUCUGCCCUGCUGCGUCUAUCUCUGCCUAUCUAUAUGUCCCUCUAUCUCUCUGUGUCUGUAUCUGUCUCUGCGCCCCGUAUCGCUUUGUGUCGUGGUCUCUGUCUACGUCUGUCUCGUAAGUGUCUCUGCCUUUCGUAUGUCUCCAUGCUUGGCCCCUGUACCUACGUGCCACUGUUGCCUCUCCUGAGUCUCUGUGUAUUUCGGUCUCUUCUAGGAGGAAUCUCGCUACUGGGCCGACGGGCGCUCACCAGGGUAGACCCUCAACCCUGCUGCUGAAGCCGAAACUCGGGCUCAAAGCGCCUGCCGCGCCACGCAGAUCUCCUGGCUCUGGAGGCUAGGGCUGCGCGUGCUGUGUAGGAGGAAAUGAAUGGCGGCCACGCGGGGGGCGCCCUGGCUGCAGGUGACACGGGGAAGCCCGGAGCGCCUGAGGACGCGGCGCCAGCCUGCUUGUAGGUGACAAGGGGAAGAGGCGAGUGCCACUGCGAUGCUGCAUCAGAGUGAACAUGAAUAACUCCAGAAACUUGUUCCACAAGAGCAACCCAUGUUAAAACCUUAUGCAGCAAGCUGAGGACUGACGUGAGUGCUGAGAAAUUGAUUAUGGAUUUGCCCCCAUUCUGAGUCUUCUCACGUCAAAUUCAUGAACUCUGCUGGGGAAGAGGGACGAGGAUGAGGCACUUUAAAAAAAAAAAAAAAACUGUGGCAAAAAGCCUGGGCACUCUUCAGUGCAGCAGACUGCAACACCGCCAGGCCUGAUUAAGGAAUGACAAUAUGGAAGGCAGAUGGCAGAUGCGUAGAUGCCACACUACU